rnacentral:rRNA from 1 species
GACGCACGCUGGCGGCGUGCUUAACACAUGCAAGUCGAACGAAGUGGCGAACGGGUGAGUAACGCGUAAUCAACCUGCCCUUCAGAGGGGGACAACAGUUGGAAACGACUGCUAAUACCGCAUACUGAAGGAGGGGAUUGCGUCUGAGUAGCUAGUUGGAGGUGUAACGGCCAACCAAGGCGAUGAGCAGUAGCCGGUCUGAGAGGCUGAACGGACACAUUGGGACUGUGACACGGCCCAGACUCUUACGGGAGACAGCAGUGGGGAGUCUACCGCAAUGGACGAACGUCGGACGGAGCAACGCCGCGUGUGUUAUGACGGCCUUCGGGUUGUAAAGCUCUGUUAAUCGGGACGCGGUACCGGAAUAGAGAGCCACGGCUAACUACGUGCCAGCGGCCGCGGUAAUAC